GUUAUGCUCCCUCCGUCUGGAAAUAUUUUUCCUAAAAAUGAAUAAAAUGAAUGUAUGUAUAACUAAAAUAAGUCUAGAUACAUUCAAUUAUAGGACAAGUAUUUCCGGACGGAGGGAGUAGUAA
rfam:Hordeum vulgare subsp. vulgare, WGS project CAJW01000000 data, contig: morex_contig_2551542